rnacentral:lncRNA from 1 species
UCAAUUGAAAAUGCUUCACUCAUUCUUGUUAAAGGAAUAGGUAGAACUAAGUUUUUUCCCAAAAAAUACCAAUUCCGAUGUUCUCUUUAUGCCUUCAUUCCCUUCAAACUUGCUUUCCAUCAGUAAACUAACUCAAAGCUUAAACUGCAAUGUUAUUUUUUCUCCUUCUACUGUUUCCUUUUAGGAUCGGGUCACAGGAAAGAUGAUUGGUGAAGAGAGAUUGUCUCGAGGACUUUAUUAUACUGAUUAGAAGAAUAAGG